UACGGGGGGAGCAAGCGUUGUUCGGAUUUACUGGGCGUAAAGGGCGGGUAGGCGGCCACCGCAAGUCAGUUGUGAAAUCUCUGGGCUUAACCCAGAAAGGUCAACUGAUACUGCGGGGCUAGAGUGCAGAAGGGGCAACUGGAAUUCUCGGUGUAGCGGUGAAAUGCGUAGAUAUCUGGAGGAACACCGGUGGCGAAGGCGGCAUCCUGGACCGAUACUGACGCUGAGGAGCGAAAGCCAGGGGAGCAAACGGG
rnacentral:rRNA from 1 species